GGCACAAGAGAGAAUUUAUAGCUGGUACUUGAAACCCUCGGAAGACUCCAGGCUUGCAGUCCAUUUAUUAGGAUGCUGCACGACCAUGCCUUCAUCUUGGCUGGCCCAAUUAGCACCGAGUCUAUUGUAUAAAGCUUCCUUGGUGGCCCCCGUGUUACAGAGCAAGGAGAAAGGAUUAUCCCAGUGUAAUGCUCAUAUAAACACAGCAAAGAAGCCGGAAAAUGAAUGAAAACAAGAGAAUAAAAUGCAGCAGGCCCAGUUGUGCGAGUGGAGAGGAGCCAGCAGAAUUAUAAUGCUAUUUAAACGCCUAUUGAUCUUUUGCAGUUGCACAAUUCCCAAGAUGGGUGAGAGAACAACAGCAUGUGGCCUGAUAUUAUUCACAGAGCUGGGUCUCAUUCUUGGCCUUUCUGCAUUUGAAUCCACCCUUGUGCAAGUGCGGCACUAAAUAGUCACUUUUAAGGCAGCAGCAAAUUGUACAACUCAAGAAAUUAACCUGCACCAUAUUUGGACCUGCUGUGCCAAGAUUUGGUUACUUGUUUAGAGACUGGAAUAUGAACUAUGAAGAUGAACUAAAUAGAAAGGUCUGUAAUAAGAAGUAGCAAUAACAAUAAAUGUAUAACUUUA